UGCAGUCGAACGAUGAUGCCCAGCUUGCUGGGUUGAUUAGUGGCGAACGGGUGAGUAACACGUGAGUAACCUGCCCCUGACUCUGGGAUAAGCGUUGGAAACGACGUCUAAUACUGGAUAUGAUCGCCGGCCGCAUGGUCUGGUGGUGGAAAGAUUUUUUGGUUGGGGAUGGACUCGCGGCCUAUCAGCUUGUUGGUGAGGUAAUGGCUCACCAAGGCGACGACGGGUAGCCGGCCUGAGAGGGUGACCGGCCACACUGGGACUGAGACACGGCCCAGACUCCUACGGGAGGCAGCAGUGGGGAAUAUUGCACAAUGGGCGAAAGCCUGAUGCAGCAACGCCGCGUGAGGGAUGACGGCCUUCGGGUUGUAAACCUCUUUUAGUAGGGAAGAAGCGAAAGUGACGGUACCUGCAGAAAAAGCACCGGCUAACUACGUGCCAGCAGCCGCGGUAAUACGUAGGGUGCAAGCGUUGUCCGGAAUUAUUGGGCGUAAAGAGCUCGUAGGCGGUUUGUCGCGUCUGCUGUGAAAUCCCGAGGCUCAACCUCGGGCUUGCAGUGGGUACGGGCAGACUAGAGUGCGGUAGGGGAGAUU
rnacentral:rRNA from 1 species